rnacentral:rRNA from 1 species
UACGUAGGUGGCAAGCGUUGUCCGGAUUUACUGGGCGUAAAGGAUGCGUAGGUGGAUACUUAAGUCAGAUGUGAAAUCCCCGAGCUUAACUUGGGGGCUGCAUUUGAAACUGGGUAUCUGGAGUGCAGGAGAGGAAAGCGGAAUUCCUAGUGUAGCGGUGAAAUGCGUAGAGAUUAGGAAGAACACCAGUGGCGAAGGCGGCUUUCUGGACUGUAACUGACACUGAGGCAUGAAAGCGUGGGGAGCAAACAGG